CAACGCGUCUGACUUCUAAUCAGAAGAUUAUGGGUUCGACCCCCAUCGUGAGUG
rnacentral:tRNA from 1 species